rnacentral:rRNA from 1 species
GACGAACGCUGGCGGCGUGCCUAAUACAUGCAAGUAGAACGCUGAAGAGAGGAGCUUGCUCUUCUUGGAUGAGUUGCGAACGGGUGAGUAACGCGUAGGUAACCUGCCUUGUAGCGGGGGAUAACUAUUGGAAACGAUAGCUAAUACCGCAUAACAAUGGAUGACACAUGUCAUUUAUUUGAAAGGGGCAAUUGCUCCACUACAAGAUGGACCUGCGUUGUAUUAGCUAGUAGGUGAGGUAAUGGCUCACCUAGGCGACGAUACAUAGCCGACCUGAGAGGGUGAUCGGCCACACUGGGACUGAGGCACGGCCCAGACUCCUACGGGAGGCAGCAGUAGGGAAUCUUCGGCAAUGGGGGCAACCCUGACCGAGCAACGCCGCGUGAGUGAAGAAGGUUUUCGGAUCGUAAAGCUCUGUUGUAAGUCAAGAACGGGUGUGAGAGUGGAAAGUUCACACUGUGACGGUAGCUUACCAGAAAGGGACGGCUAACUACGUGCCAGCAGCCGCGGUAAUACGUAGGUCCCGAGCGUUGUCCGGAUUUAUUGGGCGUAAAGCGAGCGCAGGCGGUUUGAUAAGUCUGAAGUUAAAGGCUGUGGCUCAACCAUAGUUCGCUUUGGAAACUGUCAAACUUGAGUGCAGAAGGGGAGAGUGGAAUUCCAUGUGUAGCGGUGAAAUGCGUAGAUAUAUGGAGGAACACCGGUGGCGAAAGCGGCUCUCUGGUCUGUAACUGACGCUGAGGCUCGAAAGCGUGGGGAGCGAACAGGAUUAGAUACCCUGGUAGUCCACGCCGUAAACGAUGAGCGCUAGGUGUUGGAUCCUUUCCGGGAUUCAGUGCCGCAGCUAACGCAUUAAGCACUCCGCCUGGGGAGUACGACCGCAAGGUUGAAACUCAAAGGAAUUGACGGGGGCCCGCACAAGCGGUGGAGCAUGUGGUUUAAUUCGAAGCAACGCGAAGAACCUUACCAGGUCUUGACAUCCCGAUGCUAUUUCUAGAGAUAGAAAGUUACUUCGGUACAUCGGUGACAGGUGGUGCAUGGUUGUCGUCAGCUCGUGUCGUGAGAUGUUGGGUUAAGUCCCGCAACGAGCGCAACCCCUAUUGUUAGUUGCCAUCAUUCAGUUGGGCACUCUAGCGAGACUGCCGGUAAUAAACCGGAGGAAGGUGGGGAUGACGUCAAAUCAUCAUGCCCCUUAUGACCUGGGCUACACACGUGCUACAAUGGUUGGUACAACGAGUUGCGAGUCGGUGACGGCGAGCUAAUCUCUUAAAGCCAAUCUCAGUUCGGAUUGUAGGCUGCAACUCGCCUACAUGAAGUCGGAAUCGCUAGUAAUCGCGGAUCAGCACGCCGCGGUGAAUACGUUCCCGGGCCU